UAGGUUCUGAAGAAUGAUAAAUUGGACUGGGGCUGAGGUUGCCCUAGGGUUUGAGGGAACGGGGCUCCCUGGGUAUGGCUCUCCAGGGUGAGAGGAGACUUCCCAGUUCAGCCUGACUGCUUCCCCCACCCCUCCAGGUCCUGAGCCUUUGCCUCCAAAAGGUCUGCAGUAUCUGGUGCUCUUGUCUCAUGCCCACAGCCGAGAGUGCAGCCUGGUGCCCGGGCUUCGGGGGCCUGGCGGCCAAGAUGGGGGGCUUGUGUGGGAGUGCUCAGCAGGCCAUACCUUCUCCUGGGGACCCUCUUUGAGCCCUACACCUUCAGAGGCACCCAAGCCAGCCUCCCUUCCACAUACUUCUCGGAGAAGUUGGUGUUCCGAGGCCACAAGUGGGCAGGAGCUUGCAGAUUUGGAAUCUGAGCAUGAUGAGCGGACUCAAGAGGCCAGGUUGCCCAGUAGUGAGCCUGAUGCCCCCAGACUACGCCCUUCCCCUGUCACCUGCACACCUAAAGAGGGGGAGACACCACCAUCCCCUGCAGCACUCUCCACUCCUCUUGCUCUGCCGUCCUUGUCAGCAUCCUCAUUGAGUUCCAGAGCUCCUCCACCUGCAGAAGUCAGGGUGCAGCCAGAGCUCAGCAGGACCCCUCAAGCGGCCCAGCAGACUGAGGCCCUGGCCAGGUAACCUGAUGGCUGAGACAGAAAGGGCAGGGGCGUCCUGGGAUGUGGCCCUCCCUCGAGGCCCUCUGCUCCCUCUUUGCUGCCCAUAGCACUGGGAGUCAGGCCCAGUCUGCUCCAACCCCGGCCUGGG
rnacentral:sRNA from 1 species